rnacentral:tRNA from 1 species
GGGGCAGUAGCUCAGCUGGGAGAGCGCGACAAUCGCACUGUCGAGGCCACGGGUUCGAUCCCCGUCUGCUCCA